rnacentral:tRNA from 1 species
GGCAUAGGUCAGUGGUACAGCAGUUGCCUAGCAUGUAUGAGGCUCUGGGUUCAAUCCCCAGUAUGGCA